rnacentral:rRNA from 1 species
AUGUUUUUGUGUGGCCGCUCUGGCGCCGGCGCCGUGAUGGCCACCCCCGCGGCGGCCGGCCUUCCUCGGCUUGCGCCGGCGAGGGGGAGGAGGCGGAGGUGCACCGUGGCUGCGGCGAUGGGCGCGCCGGGGCUGGAGAAGGGGGAGGAGAAGACGGCGACGGUGAGGAGCAAGGCGGGGGACGCGCUGGAGGUGUGCCGGGUGGUGAACGGGAUGUGGCAGGUGAGCGGCGCGUCGUGGGGCCGCGCGGCGCCGGCGGCGGCCGUGGACGCCAUGCUCGCCUACGCCGACGGCGGGCUCGCCACCUUCGACAUGGCCGACAUCUAUGGACCGGCGGAGGAUCUGUACGGCAUGUUCAUCAACAAAGUCCGGCGCGAGCGCCCGCCCAAGAUGCUGGAAGAAGUCAGGGGGCUUACAAAGUGGGUGCCGCCGCCGGUUAAGAUGACAAGAAGCUUCGUUGAGGAGAACAUCAACAGGUCCCGGAAGAGGAUGGACGUCGCUGCCUUGGACAUGCUGCAGUUCCAUUGGUGGGACUAUGCAAAUCCCGGAUAUCUAGAUGCACUAAAGCACAUCACAGACCUGAAGGAGGAAGGCAAGAUAAAGACUGUAGCUCUGACGAACUUCGACACAGAGAGGCUGCAAAUAAUUCUAGAAAAUGGAAUACCAAUUGUCAGCAACCAGGUUCAACAUUCUAUUGUGGAUAUGCGCCCGCAGAAAAAGAUGGCAGAGCUUUGCGAGCUUACCGGAGUCAAGCUUAUAACGUACGGCACAGUGAUGGGUGGCCUAUUGUCUGAGAAGUUCCUCGACACCAACAUCAACAUACCUUUCGCCGGACCUCCUCUGAACACCCCAUCCCUGCAGAAGUAUAAGAGGAUGAUCGACGCUUGGGGUGGCUGGAGCCUGUUCCAGGCUCUGCUCCAGACAUUGAAGAAAGUGUCGCUGAAACACGGCGUCCCGAUCUCGACCGUCGCCGUAAGAUACAUACUGAACCAGACGUCUGUGGCAGGGUCGAUGGUGGGCGUGAGGCUGGGCCUCUCGGAGCACAUCAGGGACACCAAUGCCAUUCUGUCGCUGCUGUUGGACAAGGAAGACAUGGGCAGCAUCACCGAGGCGUCGCAGCGGGGCAGGAACCUGAUGGAGGUCAUCGGAGACUGUGGCGAUGAGUACAGAGCCUAG